UACGUAGGGGGCGAGCGUUGUCCGGAAUCAUUGGGCGUAAAGCGCGUGUAGGCGGUCCGGUAAGUCCGCUGUGAAAGUCGGGGGCUCAACCCUCGGAUGCCGGUGGAUACUGUCGGGCUUGAGUACGGAAGAGGCGAGUGGAAUUCCUGGUGUAGCGGUGAAAUGCGCAGAUAUCAGGAGGAACAUCAGUGGCGAAGGCGGCUACCUGGCCCAAUACUGACACUCAGGUGCGACAGCGUGGGGAGCAAACAGG
rnacentral:rRNA from 1 species